CACAACCUGAAAGUUUAUGGAUCGGUGAGGCCUUGUCUCCGCAUAAGCAUGUUUUCUGGACUUUGGCUGAAGCUAAAUUCCUGACUUCUGAAAGAGGGGUGGGUGUGGACUUCCAGCAGGAAUAGCCAGUGGGAAGGAAGUAAUAUUCAUUAAGAGUGUCUCAUGCAAGCAGUGCGGGGCUAAGCAUGCUCAGUGUAAAUUCUCCUGGAGCCUGUCAAGCUAUGUUUGAACUCGUUCCAGGAUAGUGGAUUUACUUUUUUUUCCCCACCAGGAAGAAUACUCGAUUAGACUGCAUUUUGCCUUGCUUUUCCUUCUCCCUUUCUCUCUCUUUCUUUCUUUCUUUCUUUCUUUCUUUCUUUCUUUCUUUCUUUCUUUCUUUCUUUCUUUCUUUCUUUCUUUUUCUUUCUCUCUCUCUCUCUCUUUCUUUCUUUCCUUUCUUUUCUUUCUUUCCUCUUUCUCUUUCCUUCUUUCUUUUUUUCUUCUUUCUUUCCUUCCUUCCUUCCAUCUUUCUUUUCUUUCUUUCCAUUUUUUUUUUCCUCCAGAAGAAUGGAAACAGUAUUCUUUUCCGAUCAGUUCAGUAAUACAAUGUCCUUCAGUGUCCAUAUGAGCAUUUCAGUGGAGAAGAAAAGAAACUUUGCUACCUGGGAACUGAAGACUACUUAGUGAAGAUCCCGGUGUUACACAUCCAAUCGUUCACCUCCUUCCAAGACUAUGACAUUCCAGGAAACCUUCACUGCUAAGAGGAACUAAGAUCUAGAGUAUCUCCUCGAGGAAGUACAACUGACUUGUCUUUGGACAAAAUUGAGAAGAACUCAUAAACUUGGCUUCCUCGCUUCUGCUCCUCAGACGCGCGUGGAUGAUUUGAAGAUAUUAGCCUAACAAGAUGGAAGCAGGUUUAAAAUUUUACAUAAGAAGUUACCUUUUUCAGUUGUGUUGAUGUUCCUUUCAGCUGGUCCUAUAGUACCCCUCCUCAGGAAUGUCUCCCCAGUGCAAGGACAAAGACUGAAGAGACUGCUAUAUUGAUGGACUCUCAAGCCAACUAUGAAGUUGAAACAAAGAAAGUGAUCACCUGAAGACACCUCCUCUGCUAAGAAACACCCCCAAAUUGUGCAGCUUCUGCCACUAGAACUCUCAGAACAAGAGACAAUCUUUUCAAGAAACAGAAAAACUCAAUAAUGACAUCUAGAUUUUCAUGAGCCAAGAACUUUCCCUUCCUCAUGUGUAUUCCUCUGUUUGUACUUAAAUUCAUGUGACAUUCAUUUUUUUCCUAGUAUGGAUAUGCUUAUUAAUGCACUUGUUUCAAAAUCCCAAAUUGCACAAAUGUGUUAAUAUUUUAAGAAACAAAAUGAAUCCUACAAGGAGAAUGAUUUUUAGCCACACAUAGGGUUGGAUCUUGAGAGUGACCUACAGAAUAAAAGUACUUUUAAAAUAAAGUAGUCAGAGGCUAUUCAAAGGGUAAAAUAAUCAUAGUACCACAUUGGUCCACUUGACACUAACCAAUCGAUCAUUUUUUUUUAAUCAAGAAAGCUAGAUUCUAUCAGAUAAAAUCACUGCUUCUAAAGAGUUUAAAUCUAGUUAGAAAAAGUUAUAGAAAUGUUUGCAAAGAUAAGUAACAGAUAGAGUCAGUAGAGGAUAAGAUCAAAAACAAAACCAAGCAAAAGAUGAGUUCAGGGGAGUUUGCCAUCAAGUUGGCAAAACUGACUUACUUAGGGAAGAAAGUUAUAAAACAGGAAAAUAUGAGAUGAACCUUGAGUGAUGUGGAAGAUUUAGAUAAAUGGAAAGGAAGGAGAAAAUGGAGUUCUUUAGGUGGUUGUAAUUGGAGGAGGAAAUGAAUACACACAUCUUGUUGACUUAAACCCAGACAUUCAGCAGCUCUCUAUACAUAUCUGGAAAAGACUGCACAGUCACCUCCUGUCUCUCACCCCAGGUAUUACUUAGAAUUAUUAUCAUAUUUCCCUUCCUUUAAAGUAAGUAAGGGUGAUUGGUGACAAUAUGGAGAACUAUGAUUUUUCCAUUAACCUAAUAAUAAUUGGUAUUUAUUGAGUUCUGUUAAGCAUUUUACAUAUUAACUCACUUAAGCCUUUCAACAGCCUUGCAAAAUAGGUAUUAUUAUCCCCAUUUUACAGGCAAGAAAACUGAGGUUUAAGUAACUUGCCGAAGUGCCAUAUACAGGGCUCACAUUCAGUAUUGCAGUUGCAAAGCUCAUGAUCUAUAGUGCCAAGUUGCAAUAUUGUAGUCAAUGUCACAAUUAUUACCCCUUUUUAUAUUCCUUGAUAUUUUUCCAUGGCAAACAAUUAGCUAUUUCAUUUAAUAAUCACCUAAAACUUUUCAGUCUUCUGAUUAAAAUUACGCUGGAGUGAUAGAAUGUAUUUUCAUGAUAGAAAUUGGGAAAAAAAAUGGGGAAUGAAGUUUAUCAGCAUUUCAGACUUGUUUUUUUUUUUUUUUUUUGCAAGACUUUGAUGAGAUUGUUCACUUUUGUCUAUGUAAAAUCCCAAAUCCUUGAGAAUAAAAAAGGGGGAGGUUUAAGUCACUUGUUGCAAUGCCCUUUUUAAUAGAGGCAAUAAAUCUAAAGGCCAUAAAUUUAGAGUGACUUACAGAAGAUCGAACUUUGGAGUGUGGCAGAGUAAGGGAUGGAAACCGGGCCCUCCAGUUCACUAUCAGUAGCUUUUGCACUGGUCUGCCCUUCCUAAAUUAAGUAUGCACUUCAAUUUGAUGAGUGGAAACAGUCUAUCUGGGCAGUAACCAGGGAGCUUUGUGCCUAGUAGAUUGCUUCUGUUCUGCACUUCUUUGGUUUCCCACCUCAAUGUAAAAAAUAGCUAGCAAUGAAGUCCAGAAGUUGUCAAUGGUUCAUCCCCAGAAGAAUGCAUAAUGUCCAAAGUUGUAUGUGUAUGAUGUCUUCAAUGGUAUUAAGUUAUUUCAAAUUCUUAGUUCACCUACAUAAAUCAUUUCUAACAAGCAUCUUCUUAACCAACUUUAUGCACAGUGUAUGUUUGUAAGUGCUUCUGCACGAAUGUUUAUACAUGACUGUUUCCAUAGUACUUAUGUUUUUAAAAAUAUUCAGUCAUUUCCUACUAUAAUCCUCAUGUAUCCAUGUAACUGACUCAAAAAUACUUCAGCCACAGAAAGCUAAAACUGAGCAAAUCUCAUUCUUCUUUUCCAUCCCCUUUGCAUGUGGCUGGCAUUUAGUAAUGAUUAAUAAUAUGGCCAGCUGAAUAACAGAGGUUUGAGACACAAUUCUUUCUCAAAGGAGUCAGCUAAGCUGGGUCUACUUAUGGACAAACAUCUAAAUGUGUGGAAGUAUCUGAUAUUUGACAAUGGUAAAUUUCCACUUAGCUAGCUAGCAUUGUCAGACUUCAAUCUCCUCAUGGCUCUGGCCGUCCUGUUUUAAGCAUGAUAAUUGUUGGCCACAUCUCACAUAGUUCUCAUUGAGUGAGUUCAUAAAUAAACAGGGUUUUUUUUUUUUUUUAAAGAGCAGCCAAGCACAAAGUGUGACUUUGUUGACAUUUUAUGUGACUUUGUCAUAUGUUCCUAACCCCCAAUAAAAGCAAUGUUGCAUCAACUGUGAA
rnacentral:lncRNA from 1 species